rnacentral:lncRNA from 1 species
UGAAAAGUCUCUGUCUCCAAGAGGAAAAUCUGACUCCCCUUUCCCACAUGCUGAUUAUAAAAUCGGAGCCCAAGGGGAAGCGGAUGAUAGCCGUGCAAGCCGGCUCCGCGUCCGCAAAAUGAAGGGUUUGAACUCAGCGAGCAAUUUGAUAUGUGAUAUAUAGUUGGAAAAAACGUACAUCUUCCUUUAUAGUCUUUGAGAGGUUUGGUCAAUCCGCCAAAAAAAAAAAAAAAAAAAAAAAGAACCUGACAACCCCCAGACGCCCCCACUGGCCGGGCUUUCGUAGAGGGGAAAAAGUGACUUUUACACACACACUGCUUAUUUUGUGGUGAGCGCAGAGCUCGGUAUCUCCUCGCUUUCCCCACUUCCUGUGUUAUGAAAUGCUGGGCAUAGUUUUCCCUUGGCUCAGCGGCGUUUUGAUAAAGAGCCGGGAGCUGGAUGAAAGACGCAGUGAACACUGCCCUCUCUUGUCCACGCUGCGUUGCUGCGGGUUCUCCUCGAGGCGUGCGGCUGGGCCGGGCGGGAGUUAAAAUCGUGCUGCGUGAACCUGGGCUUGGAAUUCCUAGUUACUUGUUCUCGGCGUGCGUCUGUGGCGUUUUAGCCCCGUGGAGCAUGUUUAUUUUGCGGCGCAAACAUUUCAGCUUACUCAAGGCUGCUCCUUCGCACCGGCAAUGUUGGCUGUUCCAGGCCGACCCCAAAAAAACCAUCCUGGGAGGCGUUCAAGUGAAGAGUAUGAAGUGAAGGGGAUGAAAACAGAGACGUGACCACAGUUUGAACACAUUUCAGUCACCAGCAGCUCCGGCAGGGCCAGCCUGUCACAUGCCUGCUAAUGGUGUCCCCACGGCUGCAUCUCAGGGGCUCUGCGCUGGAAGUCUUACUGCCCACGGCAAGUUACCGUAUUCCCCCUACUAAUGCCGCCCUAAACACCGGAGCAGCAGGGCUGGGCUGCGUGCUGCUACUAAGUGCAGGCACUGAUGGUACCACACUUCCAGGCCUUGCUUGACGGUCCGAAAUAAUAUAAGGCAGGCAGGUGCCUAGUAAGUGUCACGGCUGUUUAGUCGGCCUUAGCCUGGGAAUAUGGAAGCAGCUCAUUUAGAACUAUUCUGGGAAGCCCUCCUCGCCUUGAGGUCCCAGUGUCCAAGGACAUUUUUUACAGACGGGCUUAAGCGUUUGCAGCAUUAAAUAAAUAAAUGAAAGCCCAAAGCUGCUGAUGUCUC